rnacentral:rRNA from 1 species
AUAACGGUCCUAAGGUAGCGAAAUUCCUUGUCGGGUAAGUUCCGACCUGCACGAAUGGCGUAACGACUUCCCCACUGUCUCCAGCAUAGGCUCAGCGAAAUUGAAUUCCCCGUGAAGAUGCGGGGUUCCCGCGGUCAGACGGAAAGACCCUAUGAACCUUUACUGCAGCUUCGCUUUGGCGUUAGCGGCAACAUGUGUAGGAUAGGUGGGAGGCUAUGAACCCGGGGCGCCAGCUCCGGUGGAGCCAACCUUGAAAUACCACCCUUGUUGCCGCUGACGUCUAACCGAGGCCCGUUAUCCGGGUCCGGGACAUAGCGUGGCGGGCAGUUUGACUGGGGCGGUCGCCUCCCAAAGUGUAACGGAGGCGCGCGAUGGUGGGCUCAGAGCGGUCGGAAAUCGCUCGUCGAGUGCAAUGGCAUAAGCCCGCCUGACUGCGAGACUGACAAGUCGAGCAGAGACGAAAGUCGGCCAUAGUGAUCCGGUGGUUCUGUAUGGAAGGGCCAUCGCUCAACGGAUAAAAGGUACUCUAGGG